ACUGAGACGAACAAACGGACUCUCUUUCUUUCCUUUCUUCUUGAAGGGUUUAGGCCAUGCCAAGUAAUCAAAGAAGCGAUUCGGUCUUUCUCUCUCCGCUCAAAUCAUGGCGGAAACGAUGGUGUGGCUGCGGUGAGGAAUCGAAGGUGGGUGGGGCCUAGGGUUGGGGUUUUCUCUCAAACUCUGUGUCAUCGUCGAAGGUCUCAAAGCCGAAGGGUUUAGGCGGAAGGCCAAGGAAUCAAAGAAGUGUCUCGCUCUUUCUCUCUGCGCUCAAAUCACGCCACAAACGAUGGUGUGGCUGCGGUGAGAAAUCGAAGGUGGGUGGGGCCUUGGGUUAGGGUUUUCUCCCAAACUCUUUCAGUGCUCGCCGAAGGUCUCGAAGCCGAAGGGUUAACGCACGCUCAAAUCACACUGGAAACCUUAGUGUGGCUGCGGUGAGAAAUCAAGAUGCUUCCCAGCAUAUCAUGGUAUGAGGAACAUCUUUUCCAUCACACUUCUUUGGGAUCUUUGAUGGCUAUAAGACUUAUUAGAACAUCAAAUUUAAUCUCUCAAGGCUAUGGUUGAAGAAAAAUGAAUUGGAGGCAGAACUUGCUAAUGUUAUAGGGAUAUUCAAGACAGCUCAUAAAAUAGGAUAAGUAUUGCUUUUUUGUUUAUCAAAAUAUUAUCUAUUCUUUUGAGUUUUACUAUGUUUCAAUAUCUCAGGUUUAUUAUUAUUGUUAAGUUGUUUUUGUAUUAUUUCUUAUGUAGGUUGCCUGUUUUGUUUAAUUUAAUGAAUUUUUAACAUAUUCUAAUUAUUUAAUGAUUUUGAUGUAGAUCCCUCUCCAUACUCACUCUCCUCCCUUCAACAUCAUCACCUCGAUGCUGAAUACCUUCAAAUUCAGCACCUCGAUGAUGACGUUCCUCUCUUCUUCCUUCAAAAUCCCCCCUCGACGCUGAAUUCUUUCGAAUUCAGCACCUCGGCGAUGAGAUCCCUCUCUCCUCCCACCAAAAUCAGCCCCUCUUCUAUUAUAUCCCAUACUCAUCUCUUUCCUCGAAAGAGGCUCUAGAGGAGGCAUGUCGUUCUC